UACGUAGGGUGCAAGCGUUGUCCGGAAUUAUUGGGCGUAAAGAGCUCGUAGGCGGUCUGUUGCGUCGGCUGUGAAAACCCGGGGCUCAACUCCGGGCCUGCAGCCGAUACGGGCAGACUAGAGUUCGGCAGGGGAGACUGGAAUUCCUGGUGUAGCGGUGAAAUGCGCAGAUAUCAGGAGGAACACCGGUGGCGAAGGCGGUCUGCUGGGCAGUUGCUGACACUGAGGCGCGACAGCGUGGGGAGCAAACAGG
rnacentral:rRNA from 1 species